CCAUAUUACAUUGAAACACCAGUUCCCAUAUGAUCACCAAAGUUAAGCAACAUCAAGCCUGGUCAGUAUCUAGAUGGGUGACUGCUAUGGAAUAUCAGAUGCUGUAAG